ensembl:lncRNA
AACGGGGUUGCUCUGGUGAAGGAUUCGAAGCACAUUUCCUGGAAGAUGUUCAGAGCUACAGCUCUGACCUGACGAGUACCUGGAGGAAACCCCCGAAGCACAAGGAGAACAUGCAAACUCCACCACGCACGCAGACGGGAUUCAAACCCACAUCCCCCCGGGGGCGUGAGGCAGAUGUGCUCACCACUGAGCCACACAGCUGUCGGAUGUAUUCCCGCUUCGUGUUCCUGGCAUAGACUCCGGAUCCACCGCCACCCUGAGCAGGAUAUGGAGUACUGCAACGUUUCAGACUCGCCUCCUGUGUCCAAAUAUACACAUCGGGAAGCUUCUGCAUCAACUACAAAACGAAAAUUCAGAAUUUAUUAUAAACGAUAAGUGAAAAGACGUCAGGAACUAAAAUCAGUCCCGGUUCCUGAAUCCAUGAGGAAAAAAAAACAAAA